rnacentral:rRNA from 1 species
GACGAACGCUGGCGGCGUGCUUAACACAUGCAAGUCGAACGAAGUGGCGAACGGGUGAGUAACGCGUAAUCAACCUGCCCUUCAGAGGGGGACAACAGUUGGAAACGACUGCUAAUACCGCAUACUGAAGGAGGGGAUUGCGUCUGAUUAGCUAGUGGGCGGGGUAACGGCCCACCAAGGCGAUGAUCAGUAGCCGGUCUGAGAGGAUGAACGGCCACAUUGGGACUGAGACACGGCCCAGACUCCUACGGGAGGCAGCAGUGGGGAAUCUUCGGCAAUGGACGGAAGUCUGACGGAGCAACGCCGCGUGAGUGAUGAAGGUUUUCGGGGCGUAAAGCUCUGUUAAGAGAGAAGCGGUACCUGACCAGAAAGCAACGGCUAACUACGUGCCAGCAGCCGCGGUAAUAC